rnacentral:rRNA from 1 species
AUACGGAGGGUGCAAGCGUUAAUCGGAAUUACUGGGCGUAAAGGGCGCGUAGGCGGUCUAUCAAGUCAGGUGUGAAAUCCCACGGCUCAACCGUGGAGGUGCAUCUGAAACUGAUAGACUUGAGUAUGGGAGAGGAAAGUGGAAUUCCCGGUGUAGAGGUGAAAUUCGUAGAUAUCGGGAGGAACACCAGUGGCGAAGGCGACUUUCUGGACCAAUACUGACGCUGAGGCGCGAAAGCGUGGGGAGCAAACAGGAUUAGAUACCCUAGUAGUCC